UACGUAGGGUGCAAGCGUUGUCCGGAAUUAUUGGGCGUAAAGAGCUCGUAGGCGGUUUGUCGCGUCUGCUGUGAAAACUCGGGGCUUAACUCCGGGCCUGCAGUGGGUACGGGCAGACUAGAGUGCGGUAGGGGAGACUGGAAUUCCUGGUGUAGCGGUGAAAUGCGCAGAUAUCAGGAGGAACACCAAUGGCGAAGGCAGCUCGCUGGAACGGUACUGACGCUGAGGCGCGAAAGCGUGGGGAGCGAACAGG
rnacentral:rRNA from 1 species